UUGACACAAAACAGUGCUUAGAAAUGGCCACUGAGAUGAACAAGAAGCUGGAGAAGCAGCUGGCCAAGCUGAGGAGGCACCAAGAGAAGCAAAGCCUGGCUGAGGAAAUAGAGAACAGCAGAGAGAACCAGAGCCUGGCUGAGCUGGGACUGGACAGCUCUCAGAAGCGCAGCGUGGAUGAGGAUAGAGAGAGCGGCACAGAGAACCACAGCCAGGCUGAGGUUGGACUGAAUGGCUCUGAGAACUACAGCCUGGCUGUGGGUAGAGACAACGGCUUUGUGAAUCAGAGAGUGGCUGAGCUGGGCCUGGAUGUCCCUCAAAAGCAGACCCUGCCUGAGAAUGGAAAGCAGAACACACAGAACCACAGCCUGGCUGGGGUUGGACUGAAUGGGUCUCAGAACCACAGCCUGGCUCAGGGUAGAGAGAAAGGCUUUGUGAAUCACAGCGUGGCUGAGCUGUGCCUGGACAUCUCUCAGAAGCAGACCCUGCCUGAGCACGGAGAGCAUAACACACAGAACCACAGCCAGGCUGAGGUAAGAUGGGACCUCUGGAGAAUAUUUUGCCUUGCCCAGUGCCUCCCCCCUGUCCCCAUCAGACCUGGGCUGUGUCCAGCUCUGGGCCUGGGGUCCCUCUGUCCCUGCAGGGUGGGAGCGAGAGGGGAGGCGAGGGCAAGGGCCACGGCCCAAGGGGACAGUGCGGAGGGGAGCGCAGCCACGGGACUGUUGCUGUGUGCAGACGGCUGCUUCUCUUCCCCCUGUCCCACAGGAGCUCUUGCAGGUGCAACAAAGCGAGGCAGCUGCAAGGCUGGAAGAGGAGCAGAAGGUAGAGGGGCCCCCACUGAGAGGGUCAGGGAGGGGGUGUCAGUGCUGGGUCCCCGCACCCCGGCAGCGGCACGGCUGGGGAGGACGUGGGCUUUGGGACGGGGCAUCUGCCACAGAGGGACCGGGCCACUGCCCCUCCCAGAGCCCAGGGCCUCACCUCUGGCAGGCUGCCCUGCCUCAGGGAAAGGCAAAGGGAGGCACAGCAGUGUGGGCCCUGGGCCCCCUGCCUGCCUCCUGCCAAGCCCUGGGCACGCAGCGGGUGCAGGCAAGGGGCCGUAUCCAGCGCUGGGCCUGUGCCAGCCCCUGCCUGCCAGCGCAGGCCUGCCUGGGGAGAAGGGCCCAUGGAGGUCACAGCCCUGCAAGGGCCGCACUCCUGCCACGCUGCAGUGCAUGACACGUGGCCUCCCUCUCUCUUGAGCUGCAGGACAAGGAUGUGUUGGCGAGGGAGCAGCAGGCAGACACACAGAACCACACAUACUGGAAACUCUUCCUGUUCUUCUUCUGCCUGAUGGUCUUCCUGAGCUUCGCUGUGCCUUUCGUGCUGCUCUACAGCUUCUCCUAUGAG